AGAUAAUACAGAGACGAUUAGCAAAUUGAGAUAAUACAGAGACGAUUAGCAUGGUCCCCAUGCAAAGAUGACACACAAAUUAACAAAGCAUUCCACAUUUUU